rnacentral:tRNA from 1 species
GUACUGUGUAGCGCAGUGGGUAAGGAUCUGGGCUUGUAACCGAAAGGUCAUAGGUUCAAUUCCUGGAUAGGACA